rnacentral:lncRNA from 1 species
CUCCGAUGGCCUCUCCACCAAUUGCAUCUCCCUCCGAUACCCUCACUUUCUCUCUCUAUCUCUCUCGAUUAAAUGCCCUAUUAGGCAAUACAGAGCCAUAGAGGCCUUUACGGCCCUCUGAAGGCCUCGACAUACCACUAACGGCCCUCUGGUAGUGUCAUGUCUUCUUUUCCUCCCCUCCUCUCUCUCUUCCUCUCUUUCCGUCUCCCUUGUCUGGUGUUCCAAUUCGAAAGGCCGAACCAUCCCAAUUUACGGCCGGUAUGGCUUGGAAUGUCUGAAACCGCCCGAUUCAAGAUGGUUCGGCGAACACUAUCUAUAAGUGAAUAUCCAAGAGGCAAGGCCCAAAUCUCUACUUCUACAAGGCGAACACUGGAUUUAGGAUUCCAUCCGAAAUUUGACUCUAGUUUCUUAUCAUUCUCAAGUUAAAAGUAAAAGUUGGCCUCUCCUUGAACGUGGCCCA